rfam:Tannerella sp. oral taxon BT063 isolate Cell 1/3 contig_2519917813, whole genome shotgun sequence.
GAUUGCACUAUUCACAACCCUCUCUGCAAUCGCGGCUG